GGAAGGGUCUGAAGAUGUCCCAGGAGUGUCUUGGGUUGCCCAGGGGGUGCUCAUGUGGGUCUGGGGAGUCCUGGAGCCAUCCAGAAGGGUCUGGUUAUGUCCCAGAGAGGACUUGGAGGGUCUGGGCGGUGCUUAGGUGGGUUCAGAGGGUCCUGUUGUCUUCUGGAAGGGUCUGAAGAUGUCCCAGAUGUGUCCUGGGUGUCCAAGGGGUGCUGUCACUGAGCCUCCCACUGUCCUUUGUCACCCCUCCAGGCCUGCCUGCAGCCGGACCCGGUGACACCGGAGCCCUCUGGCGCUGUCACCAUCCUCUGUCCCGAGGACGGGAGGUGAACUGUGUGCCACCAGCAGAGGGGACCACGGGUGACAUCAGUGUGGAACAGCCGUGACGCGGCGGCGUUGUCAUUGGGUGUCACCGUCACGCAGAGGGGACAAAAGGACCCCCCUGGGGGCAUUGCGUCGAAGUUGGGGACACCGUGAGCAGCUUGAGGACUUCCCAGGGGAAGUGGGGGCACCGCGUCACCGUGUCACACCCCAAAGGUGGGGACGCCCCCACAGUGUCACACCCCAAAGUUGGGGGCACCCCUGUAGUUUCACACCCCGAAGUUGGAAAAACCCCCACAGUGUCACACCCCAAAGUUGGGGACACCUCUGUGUCACCCCAAUGGUGUCCGACCCAAAGCUGGGGACACUCCACAGUGUCACACCCCAAAGUUGGGGACGCCCCGACAGUGUCACAUCUCAAAUUUGGGACAGCUCUGUGUCCCCCCAAUGGUGUCAGACCCCAAAGUUGGGGACGCCCCCACAGUGUCACAGCCCAAAGUUGGGGUCUGUCCCAGAGGUGGGAGUGCCCCCACAUCCCCACCAUGGCGUCACAUCCCAAAGUUGGGGACCCCCAUCUGGGGACCCAUUCUGUGCUCCCCCAAUUGCAGACAGCACUGUUCCCAUGGGGUGGGGGCGGGGGGCACCCUUUAUUUUUGGGAUUAAGGUUUAUUUCAUGAUAACGGGGGGUUGGGGAAUGCCCCCCCAUGUGAAUAAAGGGCGGAGGAGCGGCUGUGGGGCUCCGUGUGUAACACCGGGGGGUGCUUUGGGGACACUGCAGCAUCCCAGCCCCAUAGCCCCCAUGGCCCUAUAACCACUACAGCCCCAUCUCGUAGCCAUCCCAUAUCCAUAUCCCAUCCCAUAUCCCAUCCUGUAUCCAUAACCCUUCCAAUAUCCAAACCACCAUAUCCGUCCCACACCCAUAGCCCAAAUCCAUCCCAUAUCCGUAUCCCAAAUCCAUCCCGUAUCCAUACCCCAUCCCAUAUCCGUAUCCCAUCCCAUAUCUCAUCCCCUAUCCAUAUCCCAUCCCAACUCCAUGCCAAAUCUCUUUCUAUAUCCACAUCACCUUAUCCAUCCCAUAACCAUCCCAAAUCCAUCUCAAAUCCAUAUCUCAUCCCAGACCGAUCCCAUCUCCUUAUCCAUCCCGUAUCAAUGUCCCAUCCCUUAUCCAAUCCCAUACCCCAUCCUACAGCCAUCCCACAUCCAUACCCGCACAUCCCAUAUCCUAUCCCCAUCCUGUACCCCAUGUCCCAUAUCCAUUUCCAUCCCACAGCCUUCCCGAAUCCAUAUCCCCGCAUCCAUCCCGUGUCCACCCCAUAUCCAUUCCGUAUACUUAUCCCAUCCUAUGAUCAUCCCAAUCCCAUCCCAUAUCCAUAUCCCAUCCCAACUCCACCCCAUAUCGUUCCCAUACCUUUGCCAAGUCUGUCCCGUACCCGUAUACCCACUUCCCGCAUCCCAUUCCCAAUCCCAACCCCAAUCCCAAUCCCAAUCCCACACCUCAUUCCCAAUCCCACAUGCGAAUCCCGUAUCCCGCAUCCCAAUCCCUAUCCCGAAUCCCAAUGCCAAUCCCACAUCCCAGCCCCAUGUACUGUGUGUCAAUCUAUCGCAAUCCCAACUCUCAUAUCGCAGUCCUAACCCCAAUCCCACACCCCAAUCCCAAUCCCAAUGCCAUCCCCUAUUGCAAUAGGGCACACUCCGGGCCCCUCCCGCAGCUCCGUCCCGCCCCCAUCUUCUCAUUGGCUGAGGUGCAGCUCCGUCCCGCCCCCGGCCUCUCAUUGGUCAGGUGCAGCUCCGUCCCGGCCCCGGCCUCUCAUUGGCUGAGCCGCAGUUCCAUCCUGCCUCCAGCCUCUCAUUGGUCAGGUUCAGCUCCGUCCCGCCGCCGGCCUCUCAUUGGCUGAGGCGCAGCCCAGUCCCG
rnacentral:lncRNA from 1 species